CAUCCCUGGCAUUAAAAAUCAAGAAAAAGAAGCGAGUUUUGUCCCCGACGGCCACCAAGCCGAGUCCUUUCGAGGGCAAAUCCGUAUCCGAAAGCAACCCCAGCAAACCUUCGUCCCCGGAACCCAACUCUGGUUCUGAUGGGAUGGAAUCGGACCGACCCGGCACUCCGGUACCGGCCGUGGAGGUACCAGAACCUAUGGAAAUAGGGUCGUCGGAGCAAAGCGAUGGGAAACAAAACGAUGGUGGGAGCGACGGGGCUCCGCUGAGUAAGAAGGGGAGGAAAGGAAAAGCGUGAGCUGGCCCGAAGAGAGC